UUGAACGCUGGCGGCAGGCCUAACACAUGCAAGUCGAGCGGAUGAAGGGAGCUUGCUCCUGGACUCAGCGGCGGACGGGUGAGUAAUGCCUAGGAAUCUGCCUGGUAGUGGGGGAUAACGUCCGGAAACGGGCGCUAAUACCGCAUACGUCCUGAGGGAGAAAGUGGGGGAUCUUCGGACCUCACGCUAUCAGAUGAGCCUAGGUCGGAUUAGCUAGUUGGUGGGGUAAAGGCCUACCAAGGCGACGAUCCGUAACUGGUCUGAGAGGAUGAUCAGUCACACUGGAACUGAGACACGGUCCAGACUCCUACGGGAGGCAGCAGUGGGGAAUAUUGGACAAUGGGCGAAAGCCUGAUCCAGCCAUGCCGCGUGUGUGAAGAAGGUCUUCGGAUUGUAAAGCACUUUAAGUUGGGAGGAAGGGCAGUAAGUUAAUACCUUGCUGUUUUGACGUUACCAACAGAAUAAGCACCGGCUAACUUCGUG
rnacentral:rRNA from 1 species